AUGGGUACAUGGUGGCCAUAAAGGGAUGGACAUGGUCAGAAACAAUGCUCAGGUAGGCCGUGGCAUUUAAACGAUGCCCAAUUGGCACUAAAGGGCCUAAAUGUGCCAAGAAAACAUCCCCCACACCAUUACACCACCACCAGCAGCCUGCACAGUGGUAACAAGGCAUGAUGGUUCCAUUAACUGAGCAGAUUGUGAAAUACUCAGACCGGCCCGUCUGGCACCAACAACCAUGCCACGCUCAAAAUUGCUUAAAUCACCUUUCUUUCCCAUUCUGACAUUCAGUUUGGUGUUCAGGAGAUUGUCUUGACCAGGACCACACCCCUAAAUGCAUUGAAGCAACUGCCAUGUGAUUGCUUAAUUAGAUAAUUGCAUUAAUGAGAAAUUGAACAGGUGUUCCUAA